AGCCACCACCGAGAUUCGAACUCGCGACCCCUGGUUUACUCGACCAGUGCUCUAACCUCUGAGCUAUGGUGGC
rnacentral:tRNA from 1 species